GCCAGCAGCUAUAUCACCCUGCUAAUCACAGGUGGCAACCCAGUGAAACUCAGCAGGUAUGAGCCUGUCCAGUACCUGGAUGGGGGACCUCUUGAGAAAGCUAAGGUUCCAGCUGGAA
rnacentral:rRNA from 1 species